UCAAAUAAAAAUAAAAAUAAAUAAAUAAAAUAAAAAAUAAAAUAAAAUAAAAUAUCAUGUGAGAAAUCUACAGAUGCUAAAAAGUCAAAGAAGGCAUUAUUAGAGAUAAAAUGAAACAAACCAGGGUUUACAAUGAGAACAAGAAAGGAAAUUUCAAAAUUACUUUUAGUUCAUAUUUAACUCACAAAAAAGAAAUUCAGUCAGUCUACAGAUCUGAUACCUGAACCAGCGUAGGUUUUUCUGACUUAAAGUAUUCACUCCUGGGCCUUUCGAUACACUGCUUUCAAGUACAAAAUGUCACCUUCUUUAUCCGUGUGCUUCUCAUCAUUCGGUAAAUAUUUGUCAUGUUCCAACAUCAACAUGGGGAGUUACUCACAGGAGGCCUCGGAGCGCUGACCCCCACUGAAGGUGCCCCUUUCUGCAAGGCGGACACACUCCCUCCCCCUUUUCAGAAAAUCACGAUAGCACAAGUCACCUCUGUGGACCUUGACUUUUAAAGGUGAUUCUGACCCCACGUAUUCAUGUUGCUGAAGAGAGCGCCUUGCGGAGCAGAGGAAAGGCAACUGCGUGGUAAGAGCCCGGGGUUCAGGUCCUGUAUGUGCUUCAUAGUGGUGAAUUUUAAUAUUUCUGUGCUUCCUCACCACAUAACAUGAAGGACUUGAAGUCUCAUCCGAGAACAGAACUGCUACCGUGAUUAUUGUGGCCAUUAAAUCGACCGAGCGCUAGCAACGUGCCAGGUGCCGCACAAAGCACAGUACAUGUAUCGACCCAUUUAACCCUCAGAUCCAGGCAAUAGAGGCCCCACACUUGCCACUUCCCUCCUUGCAGGGCCAGAAUGGCGCGACCACCUGGGCCCAUACUCCCUUUCUAGAGCAAACCCUGGCUGCCUUGGACCCCUGAAUCACCUGCUUCAGUGGCCCAAGCCUCCUUGUAGGGCUUGCAUGGGCCUCUUCCCCAGAGACUAAAACGGAGAUGCAGAAGCUUGAGCCAUUUGCCCAAGGUCACACAGCUGGUCAGUGGCAGAGCGGGGCUCAGGUUACCACCUUGGGAUUCAGGCUCUUCCCUUUCAUGCUGUCACCCAACAAAAGCACAGGAUCGGCCAUCCCAGGGGCUCUCAGGAGACACAGAGCCGGUCCUGAAAAGCUGUCCGCCACCCGUCGAGCUGCUUUUCUCCUGCAUGCUGUGUUCUCCGUGCCAGCUGAGAAUGCAGCAGACGGCCCUGGUGGCAAAGCCUCAUCCAAACACAAUUACCAUGGGAAAGUCGAUUCAACAGCAAAGUAUUUGAUACAAGAGUAUGACAGUUAAUCCUAGGAUUUCACUUUUUGUUCCGAACUUCUGACCCACAGCUGCGGGUCCCGCCACGGAAUAUCAAGAAGGUAACUUAACUAGAUUUUGACCCUGUCGGACAAGUGUUUGACCAAUCCAAUAAGUAGGUCUUUGUUGACUUCCUUUAAACUCUAAAGCCAGGAAAUCACUUCUAAUAUGUUAAGACCCCCACCUUCCCUCCAAGGACAUCCUGAGGCACAGAAAUAAAAUCUAAACAAACAUA